rnacentral:rRNA from 1 species
AAUGAACGCUGGCGGCGUGCGUAACACAUGCAAGUCGAACGAGAAAUUCCGGGCUUGCUCGGGAGAGUAAAGUGGCGAACGGGUGAGUAACGCGUGGGUAACCUGCCCCUGAAUCUGGAAUAACUCGCCGAAAGGCGCGCUAAUACCGGAUAUUGUCCCAGGGACCGUGGUCCUUGUGAUGAAAGAUGACCUCUUCACGAAAGUUGUCGUUCAGGGAGGGGCCCGCGUACCAUUAGCUAGUUGGUAGGGUAAUGGCCUACCAAGGCGAUGAUGGUUAGCUGGUCUGAGAGGAUGACCAGCCACACUGGCACUGAAACACGGGCCAGACUCCUACGGGAGGCUG